UGGGUGUCUUGAAUGGUGCUGAUAUAGUCCC
rnacentral:piRNA from 1 species